GAUGAAGAACGUAGCGAAAUGCGAUAAGUAAUGUGAAUUGCAGAAUUCAGUGAAUCAUCGAAUCUUUGAACGCACCUUGCACCCUUUGGCAUUCCGAAGGGUAUGCUCGUUUGAGUGUCAUUGUACUCUCACACUUCUGAUCCUUUGGAUUGGGAGCGGUGGACUUGGGUGUUGCUGCUUUACUGUGGCUCACCUCAAAUGCAUUCGUGCAACUCUUGGUUGGACAUAGUACGGCGUGAUAAGUAUCUUCGCCGGCACCUCGCAAGAGGGUGGCUGAUCAGGAGCUCUGUGCUUUCCAACUGUCUUCAGACAACAACUGACAACUUGACCUCAAAUCGAGUAGGACCACCCGCUGAACUUAAGCAUAUCAAUAGCGGAGGA
rnacentral:misc_RNA from 1 species